UAGCGUAGGGUGCAAGCGUUGUCCGGAAUUAUUGGGCGUAAAGAGCUUGUAGGCGGUUUUGUCGCGUCUGCCGUGAAAUUUCGAGGCUCAACCUCGAACUUGCGGUGGGUACGGGCAGACUAGAGUGUGGUAGGGGAGACUGGAAUUCCUGGUGUAGCGGUGAAAUGCGCAGAUAUCAGGAGGAACACCGAUGGCGAAGGCAGGUCUCUGGGCCACUACUGACGCUGAGAAGCGAAAGCAUGGGGAGCGAAACAGG
rnacentral:rRNA from 1 species